rnacentral:rRNA from 1 species
GACGAACGCUGGCGGCGUGCCUCAUACAUGCAAGUAGAACGCAGUUUCGAACGGGUGAGUAACGCGUAGGUAACUGCCUCAUAGCGGGGGAUAACUAUUGGAAACGAUAGCUAAUACCGCAUACUGUGAGAUGGACCUGCGUUGUAAUAGGUAGUUGGUGAGGUAAAGGCUCACCAAGGCGAGGCUACAUAGCCGACCUGAGAGGGUGGUCGGCCCAACCGGGACUGAGAACAGGCCCAUACUCCCACGGGAUGGCGGCGUAGGGGAUUUUCGGAAAUUGAGGGAAGUCUGACCGAGCAACGCCGGGGGAGUGAAGAAGGUUCUCGGAGCGGAAAGCUCUGUUGUGAGAGAAGCGGUAACUAAACAGAAAGGGACGGCUAACUACGUGCCAGCAGCCGCGGUAAUAC